UGAUCUGUAGGCAUGAGGCAGGGCCCAGGUUCCAUGUGAUGCUGAAGCUCUGACGUUCCUGCAG
ensembl:miRNA